rnacentral:rRNA from 1 species
UUUAAUGAGAGUUUGAUCCUGGCUCAGAACGAACGCUGGCGGCGUGCCUAACACAUGCAAGUCGAACGGAGUCAUUUUGAAGUAGCAAUACGGAUGGAUGACUUAGUGGCGCACGGGUGAGUAACACGUAGGUAACCUGCCCUUAAGAGUGGGACAACCCCGCGAAAGCGGGGCUAAUACCACAUAAGACCACGAACUGAGAUGUUAGUGGUAAAAGGAGCAAUCCGCUUUAGGAUGGGCCUGCGGCCUAUCAGGUAGUUGGUGAGGUAACGGCUCACCAAGCCUAAGACGGGUAGCCGGUCUGAGAGGACGGACGGCCACACUGGAACUGAGACACGGUCCAGACUCCUACGGGAGGCAGCAGUGGGGAAUUUUGCACAAUGGGCGAAAGCCUGAUGCAGCGACGCCGCGUGGAGGAUGAAGGCCUUCGGGUUGUAAACUCCUUUUGUAGGGGAAGAUAAUGACGGUACCCUGCGAAUAAGCCACGGCUAACUCUGUGCCAGCAGCCGCGGUAAGACAGAGGUGGCAAGCGUUGUUCGGAAUUACUGGGCUUAAAGGGCGCGUAGGCGGUAAGAUAAGUCUGUGGUGAAAUCCUAUGGCUUAACCAUAGAAUUGCCUUGGAAACUGUUUUACUUGAGUCAGCGAGGGGAUGGUGGAAUUCCUGGUGUAGCAGUGAAAUGCGUAGAUAUCCGGAGGAAGGCCGGUGGCGAAGGCGGCCAUCUGGCGCUGAACUGACGCUGAGGCGCGAAAGCGUGGGUAGCAAACAGGAUUAGAUACCCUGGUAGUCCACGCCCUAAACGGUGGGCAUUAGGUGUAGGGCUCGUAAGGGUUCUGUGCCGUAGGGAAACCAUUAAAUGCCCCGCCUGGGGAGUACGGCCGCAAGGUUGAAACUCAAAGGAAUUGACGGGGGCCCGCACAAGCGGUGGAGCAUGUGGUUUAAUUCGACGCUACGCGAAGAACCUUACCUGGGCUUGACAUGUUAGUGGUAAAAACCCGAAAGGGCGAUGAUCCCGAGCAAUCGGGAAGCUAACACAGGUGCUGCAUGGCUGUCGUCAGCUCGUGUCGUGAGAUGUUGGGUUAAGUCCCGCAACGAGCGCAACCCUUAUCCUCUGUUACUCCGCAAGGAGGUCUCUGAGGAAACUGCCGGCGAUGAGCUGGAGGAAGGUGGGGAUGACGUCAAGUC